CUUCCGUAGGGGUGAACCUGCGGAAGGAUCAUUACCGAGUGUAGGGUUCCUAGCGAGCCCAACCUCCCACCCGUGUUUACUGUACCUUAGUUGCUUCGGCGGGCCCGCCAUUCAUGGCCGCCGGGGGCUCUCAGCCCCGGGCCCGCGCCCGCCGGAGACACCACGAACUCUGUCUGAUCUAGUGAAGUCUGAGUUGAUUGUAUCGCAAUCAGUUAAAACUUUCAACAAUGGAUCUCUUGGUUCCGGCAUCGAUGAAGAACGCAGCGAAAUGCGAUAACUAGUGUGAAUUGCAGAAUUCCGUGAAUCAUCGAGUCUUUGAACGCACAUUGCGCCCCCUGGUAUUCCGGGGGGCAUGCCUGUCCGAGCGUCAUUGCUGCCCAUCAAGCACGGCUUGUGUGUUGGGUCGUCGUCCCCUCUCCGGGGGGGACGGGCCCCAAAGGCAGCGGCGGCACCGCGUCCGAUCCUCGAGCGUAUGGGGCUUUGUCACCCGCUCUGUAGGCCCGGCCGGCGCUUGCCGAACGCAAAUCAAUCUUUUCCAGGUUGACCUCGGAUCAGGUAGGGAUACCCGCUGAACUUAAGCAUAUCAAUAAGCGGAGGAA
rnacentral:rRNA from 1 species